UACGUAGGGUCCGAGCGUUAAUCGGAAUUACUGGGCGUAAAGCGUGCGCAGGCGGUUUUGUAAGCCAGAUGUGAAAUCCCCGGGCUUAACCUGGGAACUGCAUUUGGGACUGCAAGGCUUGAGUACGGCAGAGGGGGGUAGAAUUCCUGGUGUAGCAGUGAAAUGCGUAGAUAUCAGGAGGAAUACCGAUGGCGAAGGCAGCCCCCUGGGUCGAUACUGACGCUCAUGCACGAAAGCGUGGGGAGCAAACAGG
rnacentral:rRNA from 1 species